ACGGAGCAACGCCGCGUGAGUGAUGAAGGUCUUCGGAUCGUAAAACUCUGUUAUUAGGGAAGAACAUACGUGUAAGUAACUAUGCACGUCUUGACGGUACCUAAUCAGAAAGCCACGGCUAACUACGUGCCAGCAGCCGCGGUAAUACGUAGGUGGCAAGCGUUAUCCGGAAUUAUUGGGCGUAAAGCGCGCGUAGGCGGUUUUUUAAGUCUGAUGUGAAAGCCCACGGCUCAACCGUGGAGGGUCAUUGGAAACUGGAAAACUUGAGUGCAGAAGAGGAAAGUGGAAUUCCAUGUGUAGCGGUGAAAUGCGCAGAGAUAUGGAGGAACACCAGUGGCGAAGGCGACUUUCUGGUCUGUAACUGACGCUGAUGUGCGAAAGCGUGGGGAUCAAACAGGAUUAGAUACCCUGGUAGUCCACGCCGUAAACGAUGAGUGCUAAGUGUUAGGGGGUUUCCGCCCCUUAGUGCUGCAGCUAACGCAUUAAGCACUCCGCCUGGGGAGUACGACCGCAAGGUUGAAACUCAAAGGAAUUGACGGG
rnacentral:rRNA from 1 species